rnacentral:rRNA from 1 species
GACGAACGCUGGCGGCGUGCUUAACACAUGCAAGUCGAACGGAAAGGCCCUGCUUUUGUGGGGUGCUCGAGUGGCGAACGGGUGAGUAACACGUGAGUAACCUGCCCUUGACUUUGGGAUAACUUCAGGAAACUGGGGCUAAUACCGGAUAGGAGCUCCUGCUGCAUGGUGUGGGUUGGAAAGUUUCGGCGGUUGGGGAUGGACUCGCGGCUUAUCAGCUUGUUGGUGGGGUAGUGGCAUACCAAGGCUUUGACGGGUAGCCGGCCUGAGAGGGUGACCGGCCACAUGGGGACUGAGGGAGGGCCCAGACUCGUACGGGAGGCAGCAGUGGAGAAUGUUGCACAAUGGGCGGGAGCCUGAGGCAGCAACGCCGCGUGCGGGAUGACGGCCUUCGGGUUGUAAACCGCUUUCGCCUGUGACGAAGCGUGAGUGACGGUAAUGGGUAAAGAAGCACCGGCUAACUACGUU